AAUUGGAGGGCAAGUCUGGUGCCAGCAGCCGCGGUAAUUCCAGCUCCAAUAGCGUAUAUUAAAGUUGUUGCAGUUAAAAAGCUCGUAGUUGAAUUUCGGGAUUGACGUGAUGGUCGUGCCUUACGGGGUAUGAACUGUUGCUGUUGAUUUCUCACCUUCUGGAGAAACUUGAUGUCCUUAAUUGGGUGUCUUGCGGAUCCAGGACCUUUACCUUGAAAAAAUUAGAGUGUUUAAAGCAGGCAUUUUUGCUCGAAUACAUUAGCAUGGAAUAAUAGAAUAGGACGGCAUGGUUCUAUUUUGUUGGUUUCUAGGAUCACCGUAAUGAUUAAUAGGGAUAGUUGGGGGCAUUAGUAUUCAAUUGUCAGAGGUGAAAUUCUUGGAUUUAUUGAAGACUAACUACUGCGAAAGCAUUUGCCAAGGAUGUUUUCAUUAAUCAAGAACGAAAGUUAGGGGAUCGAAGACGAUCAGAUACCGUCGUAGUCUUAACCAUAAACUAUGCCGACUAGGAAUCAGACGAUGUUAAUUUUUUAAUGACUCGUUUGGCACCUUACGGGAAACCAAAGUGU
rnacentral:rRNA from 1 species